GGGGGAGCCUAUACUGCAGUCGAGCGAGCUUGCCUAGAUGAUUUUAGUGCUUGCACUAAAUGAAACUAGAUACAAGCGAGCGGCGGACGGGUGAGUAACACGUGGGUAACCUGCCCAAGAGACUGGGAUAACACCUGGAAACAGAUGCUAAUACCGGAUAACAACACUAGACGCAUGUCUAGAGUUUGAAAGAUGGUUCUGCUAUCACUCUUGGAUGGACCUGCGGUGCAUUAGCUAGUUGGUAAGGUAACGGCUUACCAAGGCAAUGAUGCAUAGCCGAGUUGAGAGACUGAUCGGCCACAUUGGGACUGAGACACGGCCCAAACUCCUACGGGAGGCAGCAGUAGGGAAUCUUCCACAAUGGACGAAAGUCUGAUGGAGCAACGCCGCGUGAGUGAAGAAGGGUUUCGGCUCGUAAAGCUCUGUUGGUAGUGAAGAAAGAUAGAGGUAGUAACUGGCCUUUAUUUGACGGUAAUUACUUAGAAAGUCACGGCUAACUACGUGCCAGCAGCCGCGGUAAUACGUAGGUGGCAAGCGUUGUCCGGAUUUAUUGGGCGUAAAGCGAGUGCAGGCGGUUCAAUAAGUCUGAUGUGAAAGCCUUCGGCUCAACCGGAGAAUUGCAUCAGAAACUGUUGAACUUGAGUGCAGAAGAGGAGAGUGGAACUCCAUGUGUAGCGGUGGAAUGCGUAGAUAUAUGGAAGAACACCAGUGGCGAAGGCGGCUCUCUGGUCUGCAACUGACGCUGAGGCU
rnacentral:rRNA from 1 species